UAUUCCUAAAAGAAACCAUUUGAGGGGUGGCACUCAAUGAGGUUAAAUGAAAUUAUUGAGGAAACCAAAAUUGAAAAGCCUACUGGGAUAAACUUCAUCAUGAUCCACCUACCUCGGCCUCCCAAAGUGCUGGGAUUGCAGGCGUGAGCCACCGCGUCACACCUGAGCUUUUCAAACAGGAAAAAAAUUUUUAAUUCAGAAGUUUUUUGACACUGGAAUGGAAGAGGAAACAGGGGACCCAGAGGAUACCUUAAAGAAACACUACAGGACGUGAUGGUACAAUAGGGGAGAAGAAGAGAGAAAAAUCAAAGAUGUAGUACAGAAAACACUCAGCUCUGGAGCCUGGAAAACAGGCGGUCCCGCUAAGAAAAACGGAAAUGUAAAAGAACAGCCAGUUUUGAAGAAAGGCGAGAAUUCAAUUUUGUGCAUAUUAAUUUAUCUAUCGUACCUAGGGCCCAGCGACAGUCAUGCCGGAAGCAUCUCAAAUUUUUAAAAAUGUAAAUGUGAAAAGCAGACAAGCAGUUCCUGCAUUUUGUCAUCUCAAAUAUCAUCGAUUUGAUUUCGUGAAAGUCUCUUUUACACAACUCUAUUUGACUUUCUGCCUCCACGAGUUCAUUUAUCAGGCUCAGCCAUCACUUUCAGGAGUCAUGGGGGAUUGCAGCCCCGCCCUUAGUAAACCGGGUAAGUCCGGGCUCGGCUCGCCUAUGCAGGAGUGCCAUCUAGUGGUCAGAGAAUGUCACUUCAAGCUAGACUACAGGAGGAAUAAAUACAAGGGGACCUCAGGGACAUUCUGCUUUUGUUUCCAAUUUCCAGGCGUGCUGUGACUGAAAAAAAGGGAAAACAUUCCAUUCAUUGCCUAGAUAUGACUUUAUGAGAGCACGUCCAGUUACAGUGCCAAAAAGUGAAAUCCAACGUCUGCUUUUAACAUAUUCUUAAAUGAGACUGAUGUGGUCUAAAGGAGAAAACAGUAAAAUCAGCAUCGCUUUUUA